GAUUAACGCUGGCGGCGUGCAUAACACAUGCAAGUCGAACGAUGAAACUUUAAUGAACCCUUCGGGGAGAAUUAAAGCGGAUUAGUGGCGAACGGGUGAGUAACGCGUGAGUAACCUGCCUUACACAAGGGGAUAGCCUUUGGAAACGAAGAAUAAUACCCUAUAAAACCAUAAAAGCACAUGCAAUUAUGGUCAAAGUGAUAGCGGUGUAAGAUGGACUUGCGUCUGAUUAGCUAGUUGGUGAGAUAAAAGCCCACCAAGGCAACGAUCAGUAGCCGGCUUGAGAGAGUGUACGGCCACAUUGGGACUGAGCCACGGCCCAGACUCCUACGGGAGGCAGCAGUGGGGAAUUUUGCACAAUGGGGGAAACCCUGAUGCAGCGACGCCGCGUGAUUUAGAAGGCCUUCGGGUUGUAAAAAUCUUUUGUAUAGGAAGAAAAUGACAGUACUAUACGAAUAAGGUCCGGCUAAUUACGUG
rnacentral:rRNA from 1 species